AUUUGGUGGUGCGGACACUUCCUCAUAAAAUCUUAAAGUCUCUCCCACGCCUCAUAGAAUAUUUCGCCAUUAAUUUGGGAAAAACUAAGAAUGGAACGACGCAUUU